AUUGAACGCUGGCGGCAGGCCUAACACAUGCAAGUCGAGCGGAUGAGUGGAGCUUGCUCCAUGAUUCAGCGGCGGACGGGUGAGUAAUGCCUAGGAAUCUGCCUGGUAGUGGGGGACAACGUUUCGAAAGGAACGCUAAUACCGCAUACGUCCUACGGGAGAAAGCAGGGGACCUUCGGGCCUUGCGUUAUCAGAUGAGCCUAGGUCGGAUUAGCUAGUAGGUGAGGUAAUGGCUCACCUAGGCGACGAUCCGUAACUGGUCUGAGAGGAUGAUCAGUCACACUGGAACUGAGACACGGUCCAGACUCCUACGGGAGGCAGCAGUGGGGAAUAUUGGACAAUGGGCGAAAGCCUGAUCCAGCCAUGCCGCGUGUGUGAAGAAGGUCUUCGGAUUGUAAAGCACUUUAAGUU
rnacentral:rRNA from 1 species